rnacentral:rRNA from 1 species
GACAGAGGGGGCCAGCGUUGUCCGGAUUGACUGGGCGUACAGCGCGCGCAGGUGGACUUUGACGUGCCGUGUGACAGCCACGAGCUCAACUUGUGGUGGCCACGGUAAACGCAGGGUCUGGAGGGUGCGAGAGGCAUGUGGAAUACCCGGUGGAGCGGUGAAAUGCGUAGAGAUCGGGUGGAACACCAGUGGCGAAGGCGGCAUGCUGGCGCAUUCCUGACACUGAGGCGCGAGAGCGUGGGGAGCAAACGGG